rnacentral:lncRNA from 1 species
GAUGGAAAUAGAGAUCCAAACUGCAUAACCUUUCAUCCACCACCACCACUGCUAUGCUGCAGAAAAGGCUUAAGUAACUUAAUUUUUCUCACAAAACCUGAUGUUGAUAUUUGGCAGCUUCUAAUCUGGCUGGGUGCCCUGACAUGAAUUGCAGAUUCUCUGUGCUCCUUUUGAGAGGAGUUUGAGGAGGAUAAAAGCAGAUGCAGACAAACGCAGAUGGAGACCAGAAGCCAAAUAACAUGAGGCUCCUCACUACAACAGAAGUGAGUUUGGCAGCCUCACACUGUUUUAAGGAAGAAAGAACAGGAGGCUCUCAUACCUGUUCCUGAAUGUCAUUCCAUGAGUAGUCAACAGUUUUCCCUAAGAGAAAAGAAGGAAACAUGGAUACUGUCAUUGAAAAGGUGAAGUCAUGAAUGUCUAGAAACAUGCAAAAAUCUGAGGAAAUGAGUAUUUGGGGAAAAAUGAAGCAACAAUUAUUGUUCCUUCCUAAGAGAGGGGGCACUGGAAUCUGAGUAGCUGCGGUCAGUGACCCAUUCACUUCAUGCCUGCACUAAUGACUCACAAAAAUACCCAGGACCGCAAGACUCAACGCUGAUUGGUAAAAUAAAAAUGCUCCCUUCAUGGCUGAUUUCAAGCUACCAGCAUAAUGUCAACCAACUCUGAAAAUUCCUGAAGAUAUCACAGUGGUUCUUCCAGGAAAAGCCAUCUUCAGGAUCCAUCUUAUUUUUGGCAGGGAGAAAAUAAAGCUGUACAACUCACUGCAUCAUUGGCCCUAACUCCUCUCAAAUCUUUCUGUGGGAAUGGACUGGAUAAAUAGUAAUGUUUACUGAAUGCUAACUAUAUGCCAAGCAGUAUGCUAAAUACUUUGAAUGAAGUGUCUCUUUAAAAUAUUUAUAUCUACAACAAUGCUAAGAAAAAAGUACAUUUUUAUAGAUGAAGAAACUGAGGCAAAAAUUAAGUGAAGUGCUUUCCCAAUGCCCCACAUGUAGUAAAUGGUGGAGCUAGCAUUUCAACCCAGACACUCUGGCACCAAAACCUCACAUGCUAACCUUUAUGUUAUUGCAUAGCUUCCAUUCUUCUAAACACAAAACAAGAUUAUGUUUUGCUGUUGAAGUACCAUUCUGUGCAUUGCUUAAAAUCUUCAUUAACUGAAAUAAUAUUCUUGAUAGUAUAAAUUGUUUAAUUAUACUUUAUACAGGCUUCAUGUAAUUUACUUCAUAUUUCAUCGGUGAAAGAAAUUUGAAUUCACAAUUAUAUAUAAAGAUGCAUUUGAAACUCAGAAUCAAGC